ACAAGUGUUCCACAAUGAAUAGAUUAGUGUUUGAUAAACCAUAAAUGUAACAUAUUUUAAUCUCAUUCUUAAUGCGUUUAUGGAUGAUUAAUGAUGUAAAUUAGUGAAUUUGAUGCUCCUAAUCCCUUAAAUUCAUGUUUCUAUACUUAAGAGAGCAUUUGGGAGCAAAAGGAGCGAAAAAGAGGCAAAAAUCGGAGUUUUCAAGAUCCACACGGGCAUGCCACAUGCCCAUGUGCCAGCCUGUGUCGAUAUCACUCCUUAUUUCCCAAACAUGUG
rnacentral:lncRNA from 1 species